rnacentral:rRNA from 1 species
CCUACGGGAGGCAGCAGUAGGGAAUCUUCCACAAUGGACGAAAGUCUGAUGGAGCAACGCCGCGUGAGUGAAGAAGGGUUUCGGCUCGUAAAGCUCUGUUGGUAGUGAAGAAAGAUAGAGGUAGUAACUGGCCUUUAUUUGACGGUAAUUACUUAGAAAGUCACGGCUAACUACGUGCCAGCAGCCGCGGUAAUACGUAGGUGGCAAGCGUUGUCCGGAUUUAUUGGGCGUAAAGGGAGUGCAGGCGGUUUAAUAAGUCUGAUGUGAAAGCCUUCGGCUCAACCGGAGAAUUGCAUCAGAAACUGGUGACCUUGAGUGCAGAAGAGGAGAGUGGAACUCCAGGUGUAGCGGUGGAAUGCGUAGAUAUAUGGAAGAACACCAGUGGCGAAGGCGGCUCUCUGGGCUGCAACUGACGCUGAGGCUCGAAAGCAUGGGUAGCGAACAGGAUUAGAUACCCUAGUAGUC